rnacentral:lncRNA from 1 species
AAUGAAGGACGAGUAGGCAAUGGCGGAAGAGGCACCAUUUUUUGAAACGAAGGAAGAUGAAGAAGACGAUAAAAAGAGAUGAAGAAGAGUUUUCGUCAGAAAAAUGAAAAAGGAUAAAAGAGGUAGAAGAGACAAAUAGAAUGAGAAGCUUGGGGAAAUAGAAAAGACCGUCGUAUCGAACUGUCGCAUCGAAGUGAGUGUCGAAGUCGACUAUAAUGAUGAAUAGACGGCGGUAAUUAAGAUGACCUAGUUAAUGCCGCAGAUGAGACAAAAUGAGGAUGGAGAUCGGGCCGUAAAUAAGAAAAUAAACGGCUAAGAUUGAACCGUACAGAGGGUCACGCCUCGGAUCACGUCGGACACUGGUAUAGAGAUUUUAAAUAUGCUUGGACCGAGAACGACGCUUCGAAUCGCGCUCGUUAUUGAAGCAAUUACAGAAUUUCGGCAGCAAAAAAGGGACGGCUGAGAUUAAAAGUAAUCGUGUCUCAGAU